rnacentral:rRNA from 1 species
AUUGAACGCUAGCGGGAUGCUUUACACAUGCAAGUCGAACGGCAGCGCGGACUUCGGUCUGGCGGCGAGUGGCGAACGGGUGAGUAAUGUAUCGGAACGUGCCCAGUAGCGGGGGAUAACUACGCGAAAGCGUAGCUAAUACCGCAUACGCCCUACGGGGAAAAGCAGGGGAUCGUAAGACCUUGCACUAUUGGAGCGGCCGAUAUCGGAUUAGCUAGUUGGUGAGGUAACGGCUCACCAAGGCGACGAUCCGUAGCUGGUUUGAGAGGACGACCAGCCAAACUGGAAAGGGAAAAGGGCCCAGAAGCAUAGGGGAGGCAGCAGGGGGGAAUUUUGGACAAUGGGGGAAACCCGGAUCCAGCCACCCCGGGUGGGGGAUGAAGGCCUUGGGGUUGUAAAGAAAUUUUGGAAGGAAAAAAAGGGCGCGGGCUAAUACCCCGGGGAACUGACGGUACCUGAAGAAAAAACACCGGCUAACUACGU